rnacentral:rRNA from 1 species
CCUACGGGGCGCAGCAGUGGGGGAUAUUGCACAAUGGGGGAAACCCUGAUGCAGCGACGCCGCGUGUGGGAAGACGGUCCUCUGGAUUGUAAACCACUGUCCCCAGGGACGAAGAUGACGGUACCUGGGGAGGAAGCUCCGGCUAACUACAUGCCAGCAGCCGCGGUAAUACGUAGGGAGCGAGCGUUGUCCGGAUUUACUGGGUGUAAAGGGAGCGUAGACGGCAGUGCAAGUCUGAAGUGAAAGGCAAGGGCUCAACCCUUGGACUGCUUUGGAAACUGUGCUGCUCGAGUGUCGGAGAGGCA